rnacentral:rRNA from 1 species
GAUGAACGCUGGCGGCGUGCCUAACACAUGCAAGUCGAGCGAACGGACGCGGAGCUUGCUGUUCUGAUGUUAGCGGCAGACGGGUGAGUCACGCGUGUAUCACCUCCCUAUCUUUCUGGGAUCACUUCGGAACACCGGCUCUUAUACCGGAUAAUCUCUUGAACCGCAUGGUUCAAUAGUAAAUGACGGUCUUGCUGUCUGUUAUAGAUGCAUCCGCGCUGCAUUAGCUAGUUGUUAAGGUAAUGGCUUACCACGGCAACGAUGCCUAGACGACCUGAGAGGGUGGUAGGCCACACGGGAACUGAGACACGGACCAGACGCCUACGGGAGGCAGCAGAAGGGAAUCGGCCGCAAUGGGCGAAAGCAUUACGGAGCAAGGCGGCGUGAGUGAUGAAGGUCUUCGGAUCGGAAAGCUGUGUUAUUAGGGAAGAACAGAUGUGUAAGGAACUGUGGACAGAGUGACGGUAACGAGUCAAGAAGCCACGGCUAACUACGUG